rnacentral:rRNA from 1 species
CACGUAGGGGGCAAGCGUUGUCCGGAUUUAUUGGGCGUAAAGAGCUCGUAGGCGGCUCAGUAAGUCAGGUGUGAAACCUCCAGGCUCAACCUGGAGACGCCACCUGAUACUGCUGUGGCUAGAGUCCGGUAGGGGAGCGUGGAAUUCCUGGUGUAGCGGUGAAAUGCGCAGAUAUCAGGAGGAACACCCGGUGGCGGAAGGCGGGAUCC